rnacentral:rRNA from 1 species
UGGGGAAUAUUGGACAAUGGGCGAAAGCCUGAUCCAGCAAUGCCGCGUGAGUGAUGAAGGCCUUAGGGUUGUAAAGCUCUUUUACCAGGGAUGAUAAUGACAGUACCUGGAGAAUAAGCUCCGGCUAACUCCGUGCCAGCAGCCGCGGUAAUACGGAGGGAGCUAGCGUUGUUCGGAAUUACUGGGCGUAAAGCGCACGUAGGCGGCGAUUCAAGUCAGAGGUGAAAGCCCGGGGCUCAACCCCGGAACUGCCUUUGAAACUAGAUUGCUAGAAUCUUGGAGAGGCGAGUGGAAUUCCGAGUGUAGAGGUGAAAUUCGUAGAUAUUCGGCGGAACACCAGUGGCGAAGGCGACUCACUGGCCCGAUACUGACGCUGAGGCGCGAAAGCGUGGGGAGCAAAC